CAGUAGCCGCGGUAAGACGGAGGGUGCUAGCGUUGUUCGGAAUCACUGGGCGUAAAGGGCGCGUAGGCGGCCUGUUAAGUCGGAUGUGAAAGCCCGGGGCUCAACCCCGGAACUGCAUCCGAGACUGGCAGGCUUGAGACCGGGAGAGGAGGGUGGAAUAUCCAGUGUAGAGGUGAAAUUCGUAGAUAUUGGAUGGAACACCGGUGGCGAAAGCGGCUCUCUGGCCCGGAUCUGACGCUGAGGAGCGAAAGCGUGGGGAGCGAACAGGAUUAGAUACCCGCGUAGUCCCUGUCUCUUAUAA
rnacentral:rRNA from 1 species